rnacentral:piRNA from 1 species
AACACAUCAAGCACUCUAAGAGCAGAGA